rnacentral:rRNA from 1 species
CCUGAGAAACCCAAAAGAUCGAAUGGGGAGAUUCAUCGUCAGCUCAUUUUAUAUAUAUGCUAGUUAUGAUAUGGGUUACUACUUGUAGUAUUGCCUGUACAUUCUUGUAUAUUUAAGUGUAAGAUGUUGUCGGCGUGCACUUCUCCCCUAGUAGGACGUCGCGACCCGUUGAGUUGUGUUGGUCUACGGCCCAAGUGGAAGCUUUUAAUGAAUUUUAUUCAUUGAAAACUCUUGGUGUUACCUGACUGGCGCUCGUCGGUAUUCGUAUGGUAUUGAGCCGCAAAUAUUAUAUGCGUCCAUAUCUGUCGCAAGCGAGGUUAGUUACUGAUAGUGCGGACCUAGUGCCGUCGUUGGUGCUAACCAGCUGUUGGUUGUACAGAAUUCUAGGACUGGCUCGUUGAAAUACCGGUCAGCGAUGCUACUGCUUUGGG